rnacentral:lncRNA from 1 species
UUCAUUGUUUUACCAGACCCUCUUUUGGGUAUUGAAGUUUGGCAGUGUAUCAAAAUCAGUGAGUAGUGGUUGAUUGCUUCUUUUUUCUUCAGGUAUUUUCUAAGCAUGCCUCUAGCUUAGCUUGCUUAGUUAAGUUAUCCAUUAUGUGCUUUCAGUGAAGUAGCAAGGACAAACUGUGAAGAGGAAAGUGUCAUAAACAGGAGGAAAAUUGAAUGGGAAAUGAUUGGACAUUAAGGAGAAAAUCAGAGUUUGUUUAGCUCCUGUCAAGGAUAGUAGGUUAAACCAGCAUUUCAGCUAUCCACUUACACUGUGGCUAUUGAUGGGAAACAAUGGGAAACAUUUUGGGGAGUUGACGGUGGGGAAAAAUACUGAGUUACUGAAACUUUUGGAUUUUUCUUAUAUUAAUUAUACUACCUUUUCACUCAUCAGUCAAAUUUACCAUAGAAAAGCAUCUUUUUUUUUUUCUCACUUUGUAGCACUAGGAUUGUGCUCUAGGUUGCUUCUUCAAAGGAAGCACAGAAUUACUGCAUAAGAUUAGCAACCUUGGCUACUAAUGACACUGCACAUGGUCAUAGAUAAUGUUAAAAGGCAACUCUGCAAUUAUCUACUUUUCAUUCUAAUCUUAAAGUAGAAAAGUUCACAGUGGAAACAGUUCUGGUUUGUUCUCCGGAAGUGAAGGCCCCAAGCUCUCAGGAAGUGCCACUGGGCUUUGAGAGGCAAUGGGUGGAAGUUGGAGCUGCUGCAGUUUUCUCUUGUCCAUAGCUGAGUGUGUUUUAAAAGGGAUUCUCAUGAUUCUAUAAAAAAGUAGAAUUUGUUGAUGAUAAUAAUUUUACAUCUCAAUGCACAAAUGCAGUGAUUCAACACCUAAGUAACAAUCCUAAACCUUUUCAUCUUCAAAACUUCACUGAUAGAAAUGUGAAGGGCUAGGAGUUUACACUUCAGCCUGAGAAGUGGGGCUUUUCUUGUUACUUGUCAGGAUAAGGGCUAGGAACUCUGUCUGAAGAGAGCGCUUUUGGGAGAAGUAUCCCAUCUGCAGAUGGAUGCUUGUAUAGCAGAUAACUGCUGAUGAUGGUAAUUUAAGAGUAUAUCUAUGAUAUAAAUUUAGGUUGUCUCUAGACAUAGUAGAAUACUUGAAUAACUGUAAAGUAUAACAUGUAGAAGACCUAUUGUUAUUCAUUUCUAAACCUUCUAACAAAAUAAUAUUUAUUCUUUGCUGCUUUAUACUGUCCUUCAGGUAGUGUAGAAUUCUCACAAUCUCUAAAUUUGAAUUUUGUCUCUUUCAGGCAUUACCUUCUGAAUCAAGUUCUUCUAUUUAUAUUAUGCACAAGGGUAAUGGCAGCUUUGAUGUAUACGUCCUAAGCCUUCUUGUCUGAAGACAGUCUGCUAGCAAUGCUUAAGGAUGACGGUGUUCCAUUACCUGCUCUUUGAAACAGCAGAGGUACCACAGAAUGGCUGUUAUUGAAAAUUUUCCUUGAUUAUUAUUUUUACUGCCAGACUUUUAAACCAUACAAUAUCAGCUUUCUUUCGACUUUGCUUCUUAGUUCCUUCUAUGGUAAAGCUUAAUACAGUGAACAUAUGGAACAGCUGAAAGGCUGCCAAAGGUUUAAAUGACAAGGUUAUAAAUACAGAGACAGCAUGUUUUCUUUCCCCCCUGAAUGUAUAGUUCUGUUGGUUUGAGCCAAAGCAGACAAUAAAUCAGAACGUGUAACUUGUUUUGCCAUUAACUUUAUAGAUUUAUAACACGUAGAGGGUACUUUGGUCUACUGGAAUGAAACAGUCACACUCAGUUUAUGACACUGUGGAGGAAUGCUCAACCAACUGCUGCAGAGUAGACCUGCAGUAUUCCCAGAAAAAAUCAGUUCCAUUUUACAAAAAAGUUCCCAACAAAACUCACCAUCUAGGGACCUCCCUUUUUCCCUCAGUCUUGAUCUUCACCCACAGGCUUCACUCCCUGACUUGCUCCUUUGGGUAGGGAGGAGAUGCCUUUCACUUUGCCUUUUUUUCUGCAAGUGAGAAAAGUGCUCCGUGUGUGUGAAAAUAGAGACUUCCUGACAGCAUCUGCACUUUCUUCUAAGCAGUCAAUCCUUCCUUGCUCUCAUCUGGUCUUCUCUUGAAGCUAUUGUUCUUUUCCCAUAGCACACAAGGAGCCGAAACUAAUAUCUGUUAUGCUACUUGGAUGCUCAAGUGUCUUGUUUUAGUAGGAUUUAUAUUGUGUGAGAGUGCUAGGCAAGCAAGGCAGUACCAGGUAUACUAUGUGGGGAAUGGUAGGGAUAAUGCUGAUGGAAAAUGUAUUUCUUAUAAAAGCAGUUCCAGCAUGAGAUAUGUAAAAUUUAGAAAGCAAAAGCUUCUGCAUACUAAGAUCCUGUAUGUUUCACCUUCAUCUUUGCUUUCUUAAUGCACUAUGUUAUUUUUUGUCAUCCAGAUGUUGUGGUUAUGUUUAGAUAGAAAUGUGAUGUAAAACUCUUGUAUUUUUUCAGCAGGGUGCAUUAGGAGUAUAUAAAGUACUAUGUUUCUGUUUUCUGCUAGCAGCUAAUGCUUUUUCUCAGCCAUCCACUAGAAGGGAGCCACCCUACACCAGAAAUACAGCUAUGUCAGAAUCAGCACUCCUAAAAAUAAUAGUUUGGAUUAUUUGCAAACAGAUGGCUGGAAACACAAACACUUUAUCUUACAAUCAUCACUUAUCCCUUUGGCUGCCAAUACUCCACUGCACAUGUCUUUGUUGCUAGAUGCUAAUAAUAUCAAUUGAAAGGACUUGGAAUGUCAGCCCCUACCUGCUGUACUGAGUACGUGGCAUGCCAGCUGGGCUGUUUGAAGAAAAAAGAAUAGCUUUUGGGUAAAAGCAUUUGGUUUGGACUCUAGAGACUUGGGUUCAAACCAUGGUUCUGCCAUAGAUUUCCUCUGUGACCUUCAACAAAUAACACCCUCGUUUUCUCAGCUGCCCAUCUGUUAACAGAGGAAUGGUAGUUAUGAUGGAAAUUAAUUUUGCUUUGUAACAGUUCUUAAGGUUGUAGCCCUUUCAUCAGAAGUGUCAAAACUGAAGCCCUGAAGACAGAUUCCAUCUGAGAACUGGCAGCAGAGGAUGAGGCUGUUUCUGUGGUGUGAUCCUCCCUGUUAGGCUGAUUGCAAAGCAGUGGCAGUAAUACAGCAACUUUAUGGCCGAGCUCCUUUUUCAGAAGCCCCCACAUAGGCACUUCUCUUGCUGUAGCCCUUGUACCUCCACCUGCAGAGCAAGCAUGCUGUUACCCCUACUCUUUCCUCUGGCAUUUCCUUUGUUUUCUGGGUGUUGUGAAAAUAGCCUAUUUCUGUAGGAGCAUCAGUUUACUCCAUAAAAUGGUCUUCUUUUUUGCCACUUAGUACUUUUGUGUGAUGCACAGUCUUUGUUACAACAAGAGCUGUUGUUUUAUGGGAUCAGGAUGACCACAGGAGGGGAGCAGAGCAAAAGACAGCAGGAAUCCUUGCUAACGUGUCAAUGGUCUGUACAGAUACAGCAAAACAAUCUGUCAGCAGUCAUCACACUGAUAUUUUGCACACUCACUUGUUAGUUAGCCUGAACCGAACAGUCCCUAGCCAGCUGUCCUCUUUGGUGUGAAACAGACUGAUGGUCCUCUUCUCUUCCCAACAGACUGUGCUGUAUAGUUUUAGUACUGUGCUGUGUGCUAACUCUCAUUAGCGUCUGCAUGUACGUAUCUGGUUCAUCCUCAGCUUACCAGGCUAUGGAUAACUGGCAAGACACAGUGAAACCAUCCUAGUUUCAAGUCAUCUCUUUCCAGUUUUCUAUGGCCCUAAGGAGAGUUUUGAAAGCAUUACAGCAUUUUGGGCUGAUAUCUGACAUAUCACCAUAGAAGUCAUGGCUAUGACAACGUAGACCAUGAGGAUGUACCCCUUACCCAAAAUUUCCUUACAACUGGGUCAUCUUAGAGAUGUACAACAAUGGAACAAGGUUCCUGGGAGUGAUCUAGUUGACAGAGGUAGUUGACAGAUACCAUCACAGCUUGUAGAGGUAUUUCAGGAUGUUAUGCGAUGCCCUUUGUUGAGUUUGUAUGGAAUACAGGGACUUUCUCAUUGAUAUCUAAAUAUGCUUUUGUGUGGUUGAGCACUAUUCUACCAUUUUAUCUUCCAUUUAUGUAUCUAAGUGACUAAAGAACUGUUCUGAGCUAAGUGUCUGCCUGCGGGAUUUUAAAUAGACUGAAGUUCAAUUGGGUUAGUUAGCACUUCGGGGGAAGCUGUCUGCAUGCGUUUGCAUCUCCUGAGUUUUGCUUAGAGUUUCACAUUCGAACAAAAUUGAAAGCUCAAAGGAGAGCCCAGCUUGAACUGCCAGCACCGUCUGACUUGGGCUUGGAUGUAUGCAAAACCUCUAUAUUUAGUUUGGUUUCAAAUAGCUACCAUAAAUCCUUAUGCAGAUCCCAGGAGAUGCUUUAAAGUUCACUCACUACGUAUCCCAAAAGUUCCUUUGAAAUAUUUGGCAAUUUCUAAAUUUUGUAUACUGUCUGCCAAGAUUUUAGGUUUAUAAGGAAACCUGAUAUAUGAAUUUAUUUUUCCUCUUUCUUUUUUUUUUUCUCUCUCAGUUAUUGCACUCAAGCAAUACACAAUAAGUGAAGGGUGAACAUGAGUUGCAUUUUUCUUUUAAAGACAGAGAGUGAAACCCGGAGGUACUACUUCCCUGGUUUCUGCUCCCCCUCCUGCAAUGGUUCUCAUCAAUUUCAGCAAUAUUUUCUUAAGUAAUAACAGGCUCUGAUCUUGGCACAUAGUCCUUUGGAAGCUUUUGUCUGGAGCUCUUUACAGAAAAGUAUCACAGAACAGACUGUGAUGUGAAUAACCAUGGAAUGUUUUUCUUGAGCUAGGCUUACCACAUACAGAGCUAUAGAAAGGCACAUGCAUUACUAAAAAUAAUAGCUUAAAACUAUGCCAGUGUCAUUUGUUCAUUAUUAAGUCUAUUACCUCUGAAAUGAGGCUGCAGUGCUCAGUCCUUUUUUGUUCUAUGCAGAGCAGUUUAUUAAUGGUGCCUUUGUUUAAGAGGGAUGACACAGGGAGCUGAGCGGAAGACUUGAAGCUGUUCAGCAGCUAUGAAGCAGCUACUAGGUACUGCUUAAUAUCCUAAAUGACUCUGUGCCCAUAAAUCAGCCAGCUGUAAAUUAUAUUUAAUGUUGAAAAAUGACCACCGACCAAACAGAUCUUUAACCUGUAAAUGUUAAUUCUGUUUGUUAAUACUUAGUGGCUCCAGCAGUGCUCGGAGGCUACACGAGUUAUUAUUCACUCUGGCUGUGCUCCAGCCCUUUUCAGAAAAGCCUCUCCGAGAUCCUCCCAGGAGCGGGAGCUACAGUGAGGCACCCACCUCUGAGCAGGGCUCCCUUCCUUCCCUGCUUCAUUUAACAACUGUUUGUCCCUUGCCUCUGCUUUGCACCGCAUCUAGCAAUAUGAAAGGCUGCUAACCCCCAACAUUUUCUUUUUUUUUUUUUUUUUGGCUUAGUGGGGAGAGGAUAAAGUUUGUUUAUAUGAACAACAUGAUUUUACUCACUCUAGAGUGAAAGCAAGGGAGGAUGCUGGCCUACAGGAUGGAGGAGGUUGGGAGGAACAGAGCAUCCCUCUCCAAGAGGCCUUCCUUUCUGUCCUGUGUCAGUGAUGCACAGAUUGAUGCAAAUCAGAUCCUACAUAUCUGAUACCCAUUCAAAUAUUUCAUUUUUACUGAAGAUUUGAAGAUUCAAAAGCUUCAGACACGCAUUGUGAGGUGUCUAUUUGCCUUCAAAAGUUUACCACUGAAAUCUAUAUCUGUACUGCCCACAAUACUUCUGGCUUCCAACUCUGCUAGAAUCACUCUACCCCUGACUAAAAUUAAUGCUCGCUAUAAAUCCUGACUUUAUUUGGUCGUUCUAGGUAGUAUAAAAAUCAAAUAGUGUAUAAUGAAAAAUAAUUUUGUACAUCAGUGAACUUGCUGUUCAUUAAAUUUAUUUUGCAGUUGAUUGUAUUUUAUUGUUUUCACUAAGUACAACUGUUCAGAAAAGAAGUUUGAAUGUGGUGAAAAUCUGUUGGAGCAGAUAGUAAGCUUUGAAAUUCAGUAUUUUAUCCCCGUUUGGAAAUUUAGAUAGUGGUAAAUUCUGCAUGAGUAUAUGUGCAUAUGCACAUAUUAUUCUUAUGUUGUGUAAUACCACUCUGUGGAGGAAACAGAUUUUUUCCUAUUUCUCCAUUGAUUCUCUGCUGACAACUCCAAAUUCUGAAGCUGAAGUUUUUUCCUUCUUCAACAGUAAACUAUGUUAGCUAUACACUCAAUAUUAAUCCAGUGUAAUUUUAUCUGUGGCGAAAAUUAACCCUGCAUAUGAAGUAGAGAGGCAUCUUGUGAUCAUUGAAACUUUUACGUUAAAUGAGAAUUAUAAAUACAGUUAGUUACAUUUUGUUAUGUAGCAUAAAAUAAUGUUGAAAUGCGGGGCUGGAGCUCAACGAUCUUUAAGGUCUCUUCGAACCUAAGCAAUUCUAUGAAAUCAAAUAUGGUCCUGGUCCAUCCAGCAACAAGGACAACACAUUCAUAUUUCUCUUCCCUGAAAGUACUCCUGUUGAAAACAUAGCACAGUCAAAUGAAUAAUAAAAGAACUGGGCAGACAAUAAAAUGUAAGUGGGAAACAGAUAUUAACAUUCUACUUAUCAAGCUCUUACGAGCAAAAGAGAGCAUGUAGAAUGGUAAUUAACACCCACUCAUCUCAUUCUUCUAGAAGAUUAAAGAACAGGUCCUAGCCUCGGUACUUACCUCAGCAAAUAUAAUCUCAUCAAUUAAUCUAAUUCUGACGAGAAUGAGUUUUUAUUUUAGCUCAUUUAGCCAGGUUUUUUUUCUCAUUAGACUGUUUUUCUCUUUUACCACACAAGAAUCCGUAUCUCACUUAGAGGUGAAAAUUCCUUGACCUUUAAAUUCUCUCAGUUAAGUCUCUACAAGAAUAGAUGAGAUAUCACAGAUGCAGGAAUUAUGAGAACAGGAUGUAUGAUACAUGAUAAAGCUGAAUUUCAGUUCCUGCAGAAAUGUGUUAGUUGCAUAUAAAAAUCUAACCGGGGAAGCAGAGCUUUCCAUUUUGGCCCAGGGUGCCUCAUAUCUACAUUGCUACCAAUGCCACUGUAGACCAAUAGCUGUUUUCAUGGAGAAACCAUAGCCUGAUCUCCUCUUCUAGAGGGAAUGUCGCACAACAUUGUUUUUAGUUCUAAUUACUAAAAUUGUGUGUUUAGUUCAUUUUUCAAAAUGCUGUUACCUAGAAGCAUGAUUGCUUGGUUGCCUAACUUAUUAGACUUUACUUUCACAGCUGGUAGUUAAGCAUAGAUAAAAGCUUUGUCCAUGAAUAUAAGAAAGGAUUUACUCUAGGCUUCAAGAAUAUUUUUAAAAUAUUUUAAAGCAUAUACUUGACCAGUACAAAAAAAUCUCUUUUUUUGAUUUUUGUUUUCUAAGCAUAUUAUAGUAAUAGAUUUCAGGGUUGGUGAUUUCUGCUAUGCUCUGAGACUUUAUAAACAUAACCGGUUCUAUUAGCUGGGAAAUCGCAGUUCAUUUACAUCCUGGUGACAUCUAUCCCUGCUACUGUCCUUUCAGUCAUGAACGUCUUCCUGGUGUUAUCAUGCGAGUAUUUCCACACAGUAUCUUGCUAAGAAUUUAAGGAUGCAGAUAAUGUAGUUUUAAUUUUGUUUUUAUUUUGAAUAUUUUAUGUGUGGAGCUGAAAUCUGAUUUCCAGGGGAGUAUCAUAGUUAACUCAUCUUAGUAAAUCUACUUUGAACUGGAAUAGCUGGUCCUUAGCCAGAAGGUACAAGCUGAGAACUGGUAGAAGCAGAUGUAACGAGGCAAUGAAGGUGAUCAUUAAUGGUAUUAUAUGUAUUUGCUGGAGCAAAAAUGAAAAUUUCGAUUUCCACACCAUUAGGAGCCUGAAGAAGUAUAAAAAUGCAUUUUGCCAUCUUCACUCAGAUAAAUGAUUGCUGCUCUCAAACCCUUGAAUAGUUUUAACAAAUGAUUACUGGAUAGACUCCAAUGUUGGACUGUAGCUUCUGGAAAACAGUGAUAUUUAAAUACAUAAACACAGAUUGUUAUUGAGACCAUUCUCUAAAUCCCUUCCACAAUUCCUGGUGGAAAAUAGCUUGUUGAAAAUGACCAGAAAAGGGAAAAUUGAACUGAUACCAAGAUUCCCUAAUCUCCCUGUUCUGUUGAAUUUAUAGCUGUGCUCAUGUUGGUUUAUUAUUUAAAUUUUAUUUUCUUAAAAGCAAUUGUAUCAUGGAGCUAGAAUGGCACAUGAAAUGUAGUCCAAGGUAAAUUAAAAGUACUUAAAUUCAAUCGUUAUCAUCUGAUUAUAACUAAGUGCAUUAGACAGCUCAGUAUCCUUGCAAACAGUAUAUUAAGAUGAUCAGUCUUCAGCACUGUUCACUUCAUCUUGCUGCUAUUAUGAAUCACUUUUAUAAGAAAAUGAGCUCUUGAUUUCUAGGUACAGAGGGGAAAAAAAAAAAAAAGGAGUUGUCAGUGCCAUUAUAGCAAGGCACCUCUUGCUUGAUUUCUCCACUGGAUUGAUGGCUGCUGCUACAAGGUGGAAUAAUGAAGCAUUACCAUGACCUCUGAGAAGGGAAUCAUUUUAAUAAAAAUUUCAGUAGAUGUUGCCCCCUCUUUACCAGAGAAGUCUGCAGUAAACGAGAGUGUUAUGUGGGGGAGCAUGGUAUGUUAUUGACAUAUCUGCUUGUUCUGCUCAGAUCUGAGUGUGAUGUAGUAGUGGACAAGGAAGGAAAAAGCAGAGGGAUUGACAUUUUGCCUUCUGACUUUCAGGCACUUGAUCCCGUAAUGGUUUGGCAGAAGGAGAUUAGAAUCACCACAGAGCUGCACAGGUCAUCUCAGUUUCUUUCUGACCCUUGCAUUGUAAGUACGUUGCAUGUACUGCCAGACUGUGGAAGCCAUUCUGUUUUAUCAUCAAGCAGACAAACAAUAUACUGUAGGCUCUCUUUUAUUUUUCCCCCAAAGCUAGGCAGUGUGCAUUUAUCUGACAAGGCUCCCAGAUAAUCCAUGGCCAGGAUGUAUAGUGACUCCUCAAUGAGAAAUAACCAGCCUUUACUCCCUUGUCCCAGGGGCGGGAGAAUAAGGGACUUGGGACCUGGAAGAGGCCGUGUCAGCCCAUCAAUCACGUUGUGAGGGCAGAGCAGCAAGCAUGCCCUUUCUCCCAGCUGUG